UCUUCAUUUCACGUGCUCUCUCGCCGGUCAGAUAGGUGAAAGAGUGUGGGAAAUGAAGAGA
rnacentral:pre_miRNA from 1 species